rnacentral:rRNA from 1 species
GAUGAACGCUGGCGGCGUGCCUAAUACAUGCAAGUCGAGCGAACGGACGAGGAGCUUGCUCCUCUGACGUUAGCGGCGGACGGGUGAGUAACACGUGGAUAACCUACCUAUAAGACUGGGAUAACUUUGGGAAACCGGAGCUAAUACCGGAUAAUAUAUUGAACCGCAUGGUUCAAUAGUGAAAGGCGGUUUUGCUGUCACUUAUAGAUGGAUCAGCGCCGCAUUAGCUAGUUGGUAAGGUAACGGCUUACCAAGGCGACGAUGCGUAGCCGACCUGAGAGGGUGAUCGGCCACACUGGAACUGAGACACGGUCCAGACUCCUACGGGAGGCAGCAGUAGGGAAUCUUCCGCAAUGGGCGAAAGCCUGACGGAGCAACGCCGCGUGAGUGAUGAAGGUCUUCUGAUCGUAAAACUCUGUUAUUAGGGAAGAACAAAUGUGAAAGUAACUAUGCACGUCUUGACGGUACCUAAUCAGAAAGCCACGGCUAACUACGUG